ACGUAGGGAGCAAGCGUUAUCCGGAUUUACUGGGUGUAAAGGGCGCGCAGGCGGGCCGGUAAGUUGGAAGUGAAAUCUAUGGGCUUAACCCAUAAACUGCUUUCAAAACUGCUGGUCUUGAGUGAUGGAGAGGCAGGCGGAAUUCCGUGUGUAGCGGUGAAAUGCGUAGAUAUACGGAGGAACACCAGCGGCGAAGGCGGCCUGCUGGACAUUAACUGACGCUGAGGCGCGAAAGCGUGGGGAGCAAACAG
rnacentral:rRNA from 1 species